rnacentral:rRNA from 1 species
UACGGGGGGAGCAAGCGUUGUUCGGAAUCAUUGGGCGUAAAGCGCGUGUAGGCGGCCCGGUAAGUCCGCUGUGAAAGUCCAGGGCUCAACCCUGGAAUGCCGGUGGAUACUGUCGGGCUCAAGUCCGGAAGAGGCGAGUGGAAUUCCUGGUGUAGCGGUGAAAUGCGUAGAUAUCCGUUGGAACGCCGGCGGCGAAAGCGAGCCACUGGGCCUGUCCUGACACUGAGAUGCGAAAGCGUGGGGAGCAAACAGG